GAAAUGCGAUAAUUAAUGUGAAUUGCAGAAUUCAGUGAAUCAUCGAGUCUUUGAACGCACAUUGCGCCCCCUGGUAUUCCGGGGGGCAUGCCUGUCCGAGCGUCAUUGCUGCCCUCAAGCACGGCUUGUGUGUUGGGCUUCCGUCCCUGGCAACGGGGACGGGCCCAAAAGGCAGUGGCGGCACCAUGUCUGGUCCUCGAGCGUAUGGGGCUUUGUCACCCGCUCCCGUAGGUCCAGCUGGCAGCUAGCCUCGCAACCAAUCUUUUUAACCAGGUUGACCUCGGAUCAGGUAUGGAUACCCUCUGAACUUAAGC
rnacentral:misc_RNA from 1 species